rnacentral:pre_miRNA from 1 species
GUGUUUGCGGGCGUGGCAUCAUCAAGAUUCACAUGCAUGCAUCGAUCAUCCUUGAUAAUAUAUCAGAAGAAAGAAAGAUACAUUUGACAUCCCGCUUUCGCUGGCUGGAUGAGAAUCUUGAUGAUGCUGCAUCCGCAGACAA